rnacentral:rRNA from 1 species
UACAGAGGUCUCAAGCGUUGUUCGGAUUCAUUGGGCGUAAAGGGUGCGUAGGCGGCGCGGUAAGUCGGGUGUGAAAUCUUGGAGCUUAACUCCGAAACUGCAUUCGAUACUGCCGUGCUUGAGGACUGGAGAGGAGACUGGAAUUUACGGUGUAGCGGUGAAAUGCGUAGAUAUCGUAAGGAAGACCAGUGGCGAAGGCGGGUCUCUGGACAGUUCCUGACGUGAGGCACGAAGGUCAG